rnacentral:rRNA from 1 species
CUCUAUAAGCUAUAACUUAUAGUAACUCCUGCUCAAUGAAUAUUAAAUAGCCGCAGACUCCUGUGCUAAGGUAGCAUAAUCAUUAGCCUUAUAAUUAAAGGAUAGUAUGAAUGGACCAACGAGUAAAUCACUAUAUCAGUCUAAACCAAUGAAACUAGUAUAUUAGUUAAAAACCUAAUCUAUACCAGGGGGACGACAAGACCCUGCCAAACUUCACAUAUUGUUCAGCUGGGGCAGCUAAUAAAUAAACCCUUAAUUUAUGAAUACAAAAUAACCCAAAAUAAGAUAAUCAAAGUUACUGCAGGGAUAACAGCAUAACAUAAUUUAAAAGCUCACAUUAAAAAUUACCUCUAUGACCUCGAUGUUGAAUAAUCUAACUUAACGAAGCAACAUUCGCCUAAGUACGUCUGUUCGACCUUUAAAAGAUUACA